rnacentral:rRNA from 1 species
GACGAACGCUGGCGGCGUGCUUAACACAUGCAAGUCGAACGGAAAGGCCUGCUUUCCCUUGUGGAUUGCGGGUACUCGAGUGGCGAACGGGUGAGUAACACGUGAGUGAUCUGCCCCCAACUUGGGUAUAAGCCUGGGAAACGGGGUCUAAUUCCCGAUAGGACUGCAGGGUGGUGCCUGUGGUGGAAAACGAUUUUCUAGUGGUUGGGGAUGGGCUCGCGGCCUAUCAGCUUGUUGGUGGGGUAAUGGCCUACCAAGGCGGCGACGGGUAGCCGGCCUGGGAGGGUGGACGGGCAAGUUGGAACUGGGAACCGGCCCAGAAUCCGCGGGAGGACGGCAAUGGGGGAUAUUGGACGUAGGGGGGAGCCCGGAGGCCGCGCGGGGGGGUGGGGGAUGGCGGCCUUGGGAUUUAAAACUCUUUUGGGCCGGGGGGAAACCAGCUGGUUGGAGGGGUGGGAAGGGAAGUGGGAGAAGAGGAACGGCAAAACUAGUG